AUACGGAGGGUGCAAGCGUUAUCCGGAAUCAUUGGGUUUAAAGGGUCCGUAGGCGGACUAUUAAGUCAGAGGUGAAAUCCCACAGCUCAACUGUGGAACUGCCUUUGAUACUGGUAGUCUUGAGUUAUAUGGAAGUAGAUAGAAUGUGUAGUGUAGCGGUGAAAUGCAUAGAUAUUACACAGAAUACCGAUUGCGAAGGCAGUCUACUACGUAAAUACUGACGCUAAGGGACGAAAGCGUGGGGAGCGAACAGGAUUAGAAACCCUAGUAGUCC
rnacentral:rRNA from 1 species